GUAAAAUAUGCGGGAGUUCUAGCAUAAUUAUACUUUAACUCCCAUAAAAUUUGCAGGAGUUCUAGCAUAGUUAUCCUGGAACUCCCGUAAAAUAUGCGGGAGUUCAAGCAUACUUAUGCUGGAAUUCCAGUAAAAUUUGCGGGUGUAUUUUUCGGAUUUUGAACAUUGUUUUCGCUCAGAUUUAUCUUUAUAUAAAAAGCGGCUAAAUUUCGAUGACUUUUGAAACUUGGC
rnacentral:lncRNA from 1 species